GAUGAACGCUGGCGGCGUGCCUAAUACAUGCAAGUCGAGCGAACGGACGAGAAGCUUGCUUCUCUGAUGUUAGCGGCGGACGGGUGAGUAACACGUGGAUAACCUACCUAUAAGACUGGGAUAACUUCGGGAAACCGGAGCUAAUACCGGAUGAUAUUUUGAACCGCAUGGUUCAAAAGUGAAAGACGGUCUUGCUGUCACUUAUAGAUGGAUCCGCGCUGCAUUAGCUAGUUGGUAAGGUAACGGCUUACCAAGGCAACGAUGCAUAGCCGACCUGAGAGGGUGGUCGGCCACACUGGAACUGAGACACGGUCCAGACUCCUACGGGAGGCAGCAGUAGCGAAUCUUCCGCAAUGGGCGAAAGCCUGACGGAGCAACGCCGCGUGAGUGAUGAAGGUCUUCGGAGCGUAAAACUCUGUUAUUAGGGAAGAACAUAUGUGUAAGUAACUGUGCACAUCUUGACGGUACCUAAUCAGAAAGCCACGGCUAACUACGUG
rnacentral:rRNA from 1 species